UCGGGAAUUUUGGGCAAUGGGCGAAAGCCUGACCCAGCAACGCCGCGUGAAGGAUGAAGUAUUUCGGUAUGUAAACUUCGUAAGAAUAGGAAGAAUAAAUGACGGUACUAUUUGUAAGGUCCGGCUAACUACGUGCCAGCAGCCGCGGUAAUACGUAGGGACCAAGCGUUGUUCGGAUUUACUGGGCGUAAAGGGCGCGUAGGCGGUGUGUCAAGUCAGUUGUGAAAUCUCCGAGCUUAACUCGGAACGGUCAACUGAUACUGUCACACUAGAGUACAGAAGGGGCAAUCGGAAUUCUUGGUGUAGCGGUGAAAUGCGUAGAUAUCAAGAGGAACACCUGAGGCGAAGGCGGGUUGCUGGGCUGAUACUGACGCUGAGGUGCGAAAGCGUGGGGAGCAAACAGGAUUAGAUACCCUAGUAGUCCCUGAGCGGGCUGGCAAGGCGCAU
rnacentral:rRNA from 1 species